rnacentral:rRNA from 1 species
GCCNUCGGGGCCCACCUCCCACCCGUGUUGCCCGAACCUAUGUUGCCUCGGCGGGCCCCGCGCCCGCCGACGGCCCCCCUGAACGCUGUCUGAAGUUGCAGUCUGAGACCUAUAACGAAAUUAGUUAAAACUUUCAACAACGGAUCUCUUGGUUCCGGCAUCGAUGAAGAACGCAGCGAAAUGCGAUAACUAAUGUGAAUUGCAGAAUUCAGUGAAUCAUCGAGUCUUUGAACGCACAUUGCGCCCUCUGGUAUUCCGGAGGGCAUGCCUGUCCGAGCGUCAUUGCUGCCCUCAAGCCCGGCUUGUGUGUUGGGCCCCGUCCCCCCCGCCGGGGGGACGGGCCCGAAAGGCAGCGGCGGCACCGCGUCCGGUCCUCGAGCGUAUGGGGCUUCGUCACCCGCUCUAGUAGGCCCGGCCGGCGCCAGCCGACCCCCAACCUUUAAUUAUCUCAGGUUGACCUCGGAUCAGGUAGGGAUACCCGCUGAACUUAAGCAUAUCAAUAAGACGGGAGGAAACCGAGUGCGGGCCCCUCGG